rnacentral:rRNA from 1 species
UCGAGGGGCAGCACGGGUAGCAAUACCUGGUGGCGACCGGCAAACGGGUGCGGAACACGUACGCAACUUUCCUUCAAGUGAGGAAUAGCCCAGGGAAACUUGGAUUAAUACCUCGUAAUAUUAUGAAGUGGCAUCACUUUAUAAUUAUAGCUCCGGCGCUUGAAGAUGGGCGUGCGCCUGAUUAGGUAGUUGGCGGGGUAACGGCCCACCAAGCCUACGAUCAGUAACUGGUGUGAGAGCACGACCAGUCACACGGGCACUGAGACACGGGCCCGACUCCUACGGGAGGCAGCAGUAAGGAAUAUUGGGCAAUGGACGCAAGUCUGACCCAGCCAUGCCGCGUGGAGGAUGAAGGUCCUCUGGAUUGUAAACUUCUUUUAUUUGGGAAGAAACCCAUAUUUUCUAAUGUGGUUGACGGUACCAGAUGAAUAAGCACCGGCUAACUCCGUGCCAGCAGCCGCGGUAAUACGGAGGGUGCAAGCGUUAUCCGGAUUCACUGGGUUUAAAGGGUGCGUAGGUGGGCAGGUAAGUCAGUGGUGAAAUCUCCGGGCUUAACUCGGAAACUGCCGUUGAUACUAUCUGUCUUGAAUAUCGUGAAGGUUAGCGGAAUAUGUCAUGUAGCGGUGAAAUGCUUAGAUAUGACAUAAAACACCCCAUGGCGAAGGCAGCUAACUACCCGAUCAUUGACACUGAGGCACGAAAGGCGUGGGGGAGCAAAACAGGAUUAAAUACCCUGGUUAGUCCACCGCCCUAAACGAUGGAUACUCCACUUCAGCGAUACACUGUUUGGUGUCUGAA